rnacentral:rRNA from 1 species
CCCGCACAAGCAGCGGAGCAUGUGGUUUAAUUCGAAGCAACGCGAAGAACCUUACCAGGGCUUGACAUUUAGGUGAAGCGGCGGAAACGUCGUGGCCGAAAGGAGCCUAAACAGGUGGUGCAUGGCUGUCGUCAGCUCGUGUCGUGAGAUGUUAGGUUAAGUCCUGCAACGAGCGCAACCCUCGUCGUAUGUUGCCAGCGGUUAGGCCGGGCACCCAUACGAGACCGCCGGCGUCAAGCCGGAGGAAGGUGGGGACGACGUCAAGUCAUCAUGCCCCUUAUGUCCUGGGCUACACACGUGCUACAAUGGCCGGCACAAUGGGCUGCCAACCCGCGAGGGUGAGCGAAUCCCUAAAGCCGGUCCCAGUUCGGAUUGGAGGCUGCAACCCGCCUCCAUGAAGUCGGAGUUGCUAGUAAUCGCGGAUCAGCACGCCGCGGUGAAUGCGUUCCCGGGCCUUGUACACACCGCCCGUCACACCACCCGAGUCGAUUGCACCCGAAGUCGUCGGCCUAACCUUUUAGGAGGGAGACGCCGAAGGUGUGGUUGGUAAGGGGGGUGAAGUCGUAACAAGGUAGCCGUACCGGAAGGUGCGGCUG